UCCGUAGGGUGCAAGCGUUAAUCGGAAUUACUGGGCGUAAAGCGUGCGCAGGCGGCUUUGCAAGACAGAUGUGAAAUCCCCGGGCUUAACCUGGGAACUGCGUUUGAAACUGGAAGGCUUGAGUGUGGCAGAGGGGGGUGGAAUUCCACGUGUAGCAGUGAAAUGCGUAGAGAUGUGGAGGAACACCGAUGGCGAAGGCAGCCCCCUGGGCUAACACUGACGCUCAUGCACGAAAGCGUGGGGAGCAAACAGG
rnacentral:rRNA from 1 species